rnacentral:rRNA from 1 species
CGUGUAGGCGGUCAAGUAAGUGGAAUGUGAAAUGCCCCGGCUCACCCGGGGAUCUGCAUCCCAAACUGCUUGGCUCGAGUAUGGGAGAGGAUGAGGGAAUUCCUGGUGUAGCGGUGAAAUGCGUAGAUAUCAGGAGGAACACCGGUGGCGAAAGCGCUCAUCUGGCCCAAUACUGACGCUGAGGCGCGAAGCUAGGGAGCAAACG